GACGAACGCUGGCGGCGUGCUUAACACAUGCAAGUCGAACGGAAAGGCCCUGCUUUUGUGGGGUGCUCGAGUGGCGAACGGGUGAGUAACACGUGAGUAACCUGCCCUUGACUUUGGGAUAACUUCAGGAAACUGGAGCUAAUACCGGAUAGGAGCUCCUGCUGCAUGGUGGGGGUUGGAAAGUUUCGGCGAUUGGGGAUGGACUCGCGGCUUAUCAGCUUGUUGGUGGGGUAGUGGCUUACCAAGGCUUUGACGGGUAGCCGGCCUGAGAGGGUGACCGGCCACAUUGGGACUGAGAUACGGCCCAGACUCCUACGGGAGGCAGCAGUGGGGAAUAUUGCACAAUGGGCGGAAGCCUGAUGCAGCAACGCCGCGUGCGGGAUGACGGCCUUCGGGUUGUAAACCGCUUUCGCCUGUGACGAAGCGUGAGUGACGGUAAUGGGUAAAGAAGCACCGGCUAACUACGUG
rnacentral:rRNA from 1 species